rnacentral:rRNA from 1 species
CAGCAGGCACGCAAAUUACCCACUCCCGGCACGGGGAGGUAGUGACGAAAAAUAACGGUGCGAGACUCAUCCGAGGCCUCGCAAUCGGAAUGAGUACACUUUAAAUCCUUUAACGAGGAUCAAUUGGAGGGCAAGUCUGGUGCCAGCAGCCGCGGUAAUUCCAGCUCCAAUAGCGUAUAUUAAAGUUGUUGCGGUUAAAAAGCUCGUAGUUGACCUUCAGUUCCGGACUGACGGUGCACCGCCCGGUGUCUCUCCGUCAUGCUCCGAACAGCAGGGACAUCCCUGCCCUGCCGGCUCGCACGGGGUGCUCUUCAUCGAGUGUCCCGCGUGGCCGGCGAGUUUACUUUGAAAAAAUUAGAGUGCUCAAAGCAGGCUACUUGAAUGGCCUGAAUGGUGAUGCAUGGAAUAAUGGAAUAGGACCUCGGUUCUAUUUUAUUGGUUUUCGGAACCCGAGGUAAUGACUAAUAGAAACAGGCGGGGGCAUUCGUACUGCGACGCUAGAGGUGAAAUUCUUGGACCGUCGCAAGACGAACUACUGCGAAAGCAUUUGCCAAGGAUGUUUUCAUUAAUCAAGAACGAAAGUUAGAGGUUCGAAGGCGAUCAGAUACCGCCCUAGUUCUAACCAUAAACGAUGCUGACUAGCGAUCCGCCGGCGUUAUUCCCAUGACCCGGCGGGCAGCUUCCGGGAAACCAAAGUCUUUGAGUUCCGGGGGAAGUAUGGUUGCAAAGCUGAAACUUAAAGGAAUUGACGGAAGGGCACCACCAGGAGUGGAGCCUGCGGCUUAAUUUGACUCAACACGGGGAAACUCACCAGGCCCGGACACC